AGUUAACCAGAGUUGGGGGUGGGGUGGGGAGAGAGAGGGCUUGUUACCUUUCAUAGAUUUUUUCACUAACUAAGCAAAAAAUUGAAUUAGGGAGUUACCCCUUUGUGGAUCAGUAAUCUCCCUCUUAGUUUAAGGCUGAGAAAAAUGAAAGUUGUCACUUUUUGGAUGAAAGAGCUUUUAUUUUAGAAAACAACUACCUGGUAUGCUUUACCUACAUUUCGUUACAGGCUUGAUGUAACUGAUUUUGGAGAUAUCCAGUAGUAAAUGAGGGAUUCUGCCUUUACAAUACUAUAAGCAGUUGAACUACGCACAUUAAAUGGAAAUGAUGGAGAGAAUGAAGUACAGAAUUAUUGCAGCAAAAUGGAAGAACUGGGAACAAUACCCUGUAUCCCCUGACAUCCCAUCCUAUUCAUAAGUAAAGGUAUAGAUAAUUAGAUCAUUGCUUUAUUUUUCCAGAUUUUUACCAAAGAAAAAAAAAUGGAUUAGAAAAUGAAAUAGUUUUCAAGAUUGUAAGUGGCAUUGAUAAGUAGCACUUAUAAAAAUUAAAGAGUAAAGAAAAGCAAGAUGGAGAAGAAUCCACUGUGACUGUGAUUUUUGUCAUUUUGUUCAGGCUUUGGAGUUUUGCUUGUCAAUAUUGAUUUCACAAAAGAAAAUAUCCUUCUCUAAUUAGUUGUUCAUGUUGAUUCAUUCUGUGUACAUCCACAAGUAUAAGAUGAGAUUAUUUUGGCUGUCUGUAGCUCAUGGGCACCUAGCGCCAGCAUAUGCAUAGGGAUUCUGUCUGCAUAUGUGAUGGAGUUGAUACAGUCAUUCCCUAUUCUCUUUUUUAACACUUGCAGUCAUAAAAUAUAUAUAAAUCAGAGAGGGAUUUGUGAUUGGGUAUUAGUAUAGAGUCACAGCGCGUCAUGGGUGACAGUAAGAAAAGAGUGGAUUUAUGAUAGAAUCAAUUUACUCAGUAUAAUAAGCAGUGCUUCCUAGCUUUAACAUUAAUUCCUGGAGCAGAGGGAGAAUUGCUGUACAUCUAUUUCAUAAAACAAACUUGUCAAUAUACAUUAGCAACAUGUGAAUACUAAAAUUAAAAUAGUUCAAAGCUUGUCUGAUCAGUAAUUCUACUGUUCCACUACAUGUUAUGUCUUCAAAACAUCAUUGUUGCCUGAAAAGAGUGCCAUUCUGCAAACUGAUCUUGGAAGAAUCUUUGACACAGAGACAAAAAUGGAGAAGGCCUGUCUUAAAGUUUUUUCCUAAGAUGUCUGACAGCUUUAUUGGACCUGAAAUUAAGAUGAUAUUUCAGUCCCCAAAAUCCUUUUCAGCUGAUUUUCCUUUGAACUUCAGUUUGAGUCCAAGGCCAUACUUUCAUCAGAGAGAGAUCUUCAGUGUCCAAAUCUGGCAAGGGACGUUACUGCCUCUUCCACCAGUCAAGAGCAUAGAAUAGGCAGGAAUAUUGUUCCCGUCCAUGGUGAAUGCAGUGGGAAUCUCACUGGAAACCUUUUUCCUCCUCCACAGCCUAGUAAUUGGUGCAAAAAUCAUGAUCUUUUGUUCCAAAGGCAGUCCGUAGUUGAAAGUGAGUCUCUCGGACACUUUGGGCCGUGGUAUGUGAGUGACACAGUCAGCCAGGCAGUCCGCUCCCUGUUAGCGCUGCUCUCUUGGACUGUGUGUUUAGCUCAGGAUCCUAUCGCUGUAAUGGCCAGUAGGAGAUGCUUAGUGAAAAGAAUAAAUGGAUCGAAUGUGAGUUAAUUUUCCAGAGUAUAUAUGCACACAGCCUCCAGCAGUAAUUCUGGGAGAAGUAUGUGAACUCAGUCUAGACUUGUUUGUGAGAUGAAAGAACAGAUUUUGCCACCAGAGAAUCAGGUGCUGGAAAAAGAGGACUACUAAAUGGAAGAAAACACAGCAGAAAAAAAUAAUUUAAGAAUAAUGAUUUGGAUAUUCAGAAGCUGAAAAUAAAGAAGCCUCAGGAAAUUGUUAGAUGGGGAGAGAACAAAGAAUACCAACUCAGCAGUGGACUUUAAAAGAUAAAAUUUGUUCUGUAGUUAAGGGGCAGGGGGGAGGUGGGGAAAGGUGUCUACGUGUUAAACGACAGGAGUUUUGAACGAGGAAUUGACUGUGAAAUGCCUUUCUUCUCUUUCCUGAUGGUGAGGCCAAAAAAGAGAAGAUACAAAGCAGACAGUCUGCGUAUCCUGAGGACUACCAAUCUUAAAUCUGUGUUGACACUAGAAAUAUUCAGGAAAAAGAUUUCUGGAGUUACAGAGUAAUUUAUUACCAGUUAUCCAUCUAAUAAUGGCAAGGACACCUCUGCAUGUGAGGUUAAUAUUCAGGCAAUAUUCACGCAUGCCAUGUGAUUUUGUUUUUACAACAAAUUCUGAAGCAUUUCUGAGAUGUUUGUAAAUGUGGCUACCAGAUGACAAGCCUAAAGUUCCUACUGUAAGCAACUGCAGACAACGAAUCUGACACUGAGAGGAACCUAAAAGGGACACUUGGAGUUGCCUGGGUCUCAGUAAGGGCUAUUUUGGAGGAUAAGUGAUGGUAUGGAGAAAUGGAAAUUAAUUACCUUUUCCAUUACCAGGGUAAAUGGGAAAGUGCAUGCUAUAGAAGUUGAAAGAUUAGACCUUUUUCUUAUAAAAAAUUCUCCAACAAAAAUUAGAUGGUUGUUUUCUUUAAUAGCUACAAGGAUGCAGCUGCUAAGAAGUUCAAAUAAGAUAACUAGGAAGGAGGAAGGUUGUUUCUCUGUGUAGCCAGAGAAAAUAGAGACAGUGAAUAAAACAUUCAGCAGAGCAGUCUGUUUCUCUAGUCCAGAAAUGGGAGCUAGCUAAGCUGAAAAGACCCUACAAAGAUUGGUAUUGAAAGACUAACAUGUAUACUAGGCCAUCACUCUUGGCCUUAAUCUGAUUUGUACUUUACUGGUGUAGUGUACGUCUGAGGAAAGGAGUGAAUAAAGCACGUAGCCAAGCAUAUAACUGGGGCUAUACCACUAAAAUGGUUUGGAAAGGUGAAGGCACAUCUGCACGAGCGCUGUCUCAGUAUUUGGGCCAUGUGAGCCCAGCAGGAAUGAAGUGCAGUAUAUCACUAUCACCUGGCAAGUGUUUUUUUAGAAGAGCUAAAGGUUGCAGUAACUAUAGCAUGUAGCUCAGAUGUCAACAUUUAAAAAUGUGUUAUCACGGUGGAUUCUGCAUCCUGCCCUUUUCCACAGUAAGUCAAAGUCCAGUAAUCUUUCAUUGAAGGGUUACAAACAAUGGUUCAGCUACAUCCGUCCUUCAUGUAUUCAUGAGCCCAAGGCUAUCUAGGGACACUGCUGCCCAGAAGAACGUGGUCUUUUGCAAAGGUCCAAAAGUAGAGUCUGUGUGCCUUCUACGAUGGGAUGACUGGGUGGGUAGAUGAGAAGAAAGCAGUGGAUGUUGUCUACUUUGACUUCAGGAAGGCUUUUGACACUGUCUCCCAUAACAUCCUCAUAGACAAGGUCAGAAAAUGCAGGCUAGAUGAGCAGACAGUGGGGUGGAUUGAGAACCAGCUGAACAGCAGAGCUCAGAGGGUUGUGAUCAAUGGGGCAAAGUCUAGCUGGAGGCCUGUAGCUAGCGAUGUACCCCAGGGUCCAGUCUCGUUCAACUUAUUCAUCAAUGACCUGGCUGAAGGGACAGAGUGCACCCCCAGCAAAUUUGCUGAUAAUACAAAACGGGGAGGAGGGGCUGAUACACCAGAGGGCUGUGCUGCCAUUCAGAGGGACCUCAGCAGGCUGGAGAGAGGGACGGAGAGGAACCUCAUGAAGUUCAAUAAAAGGAAGUGCAGAGUCCUGGACCUGGAGCGGAAUAACCCCAAUAACCAAGAUAGGUUGUGGAGUCUCCAUCCUUGGAGAUAUUCAAAAGCCACCUCGAUAAGGUCCUGGGUAACAUGCUCUAGGUGACCCUGCCAGAGCAGAGGACUGGGUGAUCUCCCUUCCGACCUCAGCCAUUCUGUGAUUCUGUGAUUCUGUGUGGACAAUACAUCUUGAAGAGCUAAGAUUUUACUGUAAGGUUGUAAUUGUUUUUUUUUCUUUCCUAGAAGCCAGUGCUUCUUUGAGGAUUUUCUGGGAAAAGGAAGUAAAGUGAAAUUUAGAGCAUUGCGUAAGGAUACAGACUACGGAGGAUCGGUUCCAAAAAGUGCACGAUUAGCUAUCAGUAUGUAGGGCAUAUGUUUAACUGUAGGUAGCUUUUUCAGCUUCAUACUGCUACUAGUUUACCUUUAUUACUGUAUGUAAAGUUGAGUGCAGAUGUGUGGCCAAAAAAAGACACUGGAAGCUUUUGAGCACCUUUCAUAUCUAAUGGGCAACAAAAUAUGUUUGAUGAGAUGGUGUGAAAAAAUCAUUCUUUCAUUUUUAUUUUUGCACAAUUUAAUAUGCAGUCAAAAUAAAAAUACUAUCAAACAAAUGAACAAAUGUUAUUUCUCCAAAGCACAAAAGAACGAGUUAACUUUUCCCUUUAUAUAAGAAGUGAAGAUAAGUUUGCUUUUAAAGACAAGAAAAUGUUCAUUGCUUAAUGGAAAACUUACAGCAGAUGAAUGCAUGGAAAAAUACCAGCAGUGCAAUGCAACUACCAUUAGACAUACACAUGAAUCAGAAUGUGUUGACAAUGUUCUAUUUAGCUGAAAAUAUUUCUCUUGAAUGGUCAAUUAAUACUGAUACACUUCUUCAGGCCAGGAGAGUCUCUAUACCCAGGUGCUGCAGGAGUUAAGCCAACAGAGAUGGCUGAAGUAAAUGUCACUGGGUUACCGUGAUGGCCAGCUGCAUAUGCCAGUCCUGUAACAUUGCAAUGGUGAGCUCUGAAAAGCUGAGCAUUUCCUGAGAACAGCGCCUGGGACUUCCUUCCUUGAGCUCCCUGGGGUAUGUGGUGCCUACCUUGUGGCUCUUGGCCCUGUGCACAUUUUGGUGUGUGGUUCAGUGUUUCAGGAAGACUGCAUCCCUCAGGAGCUGUACUUUUUAGCUUUGUACAAUGGCUGCUAUGGCUGAACAAUAUUAUUCAAUCCUUUACAGCUACGUGAAGGUCUGUGCCUUCUUUUAAAAGCAGAUAAUCCAAUAGAGUCAUGUCAGGAAUUCCCAACAGUGACAAUGCGGCUGCUACUGCUGCUGCUCUUUUGCCAUUAUAACUUACCAGCCUGAAUAAAGUGUGCAAUAUUAAAUAAAGGCCUUGUUUUAAUGUUGUUCACUAUAUCUGCAGAAGGGUUGCAUGCGUAGCUUUACAGACACAGCUAGCAUCCUCUUGUACAGAUAAGUUUUAAUAGUUCUGUAAGUGACUGUACAAGAGAAAUUCUAAAUCUAAAUUUUUGUGGCCAUUUAUUAAUGUAAUGUCAUACAACUGUGUGUCUAAACUGAAAGUCCUUUCUGGAAAUCUGAAAACUCUACACCCCACUCUUCAUGUCUGCCAGUUGAGAAGUUUCUGUUCAUUUCUCUCGUUCUUUCUAAGGGGGCAGAUGUACUUCCUCAAAAGUUUUGGCUUGCCUUUGGUCAAGUACCAUGAGGUUGAGUGUAAAACAGAAGGUACGUAACAUAGCUGGUUCUUGCAGCAUGCAACUUCAGCAAUUACAUGUCUUUUGCUAAGUUCAGAGUUAUUCUGUAUUGCUGGUUUUUGAUGGAUCAAUAUCCAACCUCUACAGUGUCCCUUCAUUGGAUAUAGAACCAGAUGUGCAGAAGGGGACCUGUAAGGGUGUUUAAUAUGAUUGGUAAAUAGCUUCCAUCCUUAUAAUAUAGUACUCCAUUGACUUCUGUUACUUGGUCUUGUUUCCAUGUACGAAUUAGAAUCUGAGACCACUGUUUAAUGGUGUGUCUAUACUGAGAGAAAGGUGCUUUCAUAGGAAGGAAAAAUAUUAUGACUUUCUGAAAACUAAGAGUAGUCCUUUAAUAGAGUUUAGCUAUCACUUGAAUAUCUGUAACUUAGUGUCAAAGUUCAAUAGUUUAAGCUCUGGCUGCUCUUGUUUGGCAUGAGCAGUUCCAACAAUUUGGCGUUAUGUAGUUGAAUAGUAGCGUAGAAACUCUACUUUGGUUAAUAUUUACAUAUUAUAGAAAUAAUACUUCUAUUUAGUCAAUGUUAAGAAGUUACUCAUGAGUUUUUAAAAUGGCUAGAAACAUUUAAUGUUGAUACUGCUGAAAAAAUGGGUGGCAUCAAGUAAACUUUUUUAGUUCUAAGCACUUAACUUCUUUAUAAUAAUUGAUCUUCAUAGAAAUUAAAAUAUUUUUUCUGAGUCAUGAAUGUGUUUGUUAGUUUUGUUCAACUGUAGUAGGACAUACUCCUCUGAAAGGAUCUUGCCUCAGAUGCUGCUGGUUGAUUAACAGUAUUGAUUUCAGCCUGGAUCUUUAGUUUACUAGUUUUGGAACGAAUUUAGUCAGCCUGUUAUGUUCCACAUUUGUGUCACUUUAUAGUUACAAGCUGGCAUUUUGUAUAUUUUCCUGUGUGUUUUUCUUACUGUUACUAAACAAGUCCACAAAAUGUUUUCCUUAGGGAGUAUCUUCAAACAAAAAUGACAAAUGUAAGGCACCUUUUUAGGUUAGAGAUUAAUAGGGUACCUCUCUAAAUUUCUAAAUAGAAAAUCAACUGAAUUAUAAAAGCAGACAUAGAGAUUAUAUGUCCUUUGGCAGGAACUACAUGUAUUUAUUAUUUCCCAACAGGUAUCUAGUUUUACUAGUCUAUGUAAACAUUUUAUUGUAAAAGAAAUAUGUCUUACCUGUGUUUUACAAGAUAUCCCCAUAUAUGGAGUUUAUGCGAGGGAAGUAAAUUUACCUUUUAUUAAAAAAAAAAUUUUAAGGUGUUUGCAUUUGUAUAUUUAAUAAGCAAGAACCGAAUUCUUUACUAACAGUAUUUAGUAACUUAGUAAACCAGUUUCUGUGUGUCACUACUUUUGGUUUCUUUUUCAACUAACAUAUAGUUUUAGUUGCCUCCUGCUGUGAAAUAUCAUAUCUUGUGUAUAAAUUUGUUGAUCUGUAUGUGAUAUUAGGUAAUAAUCUGGAAAUUAAUUAAUUAAAGGCUAUGUAGACAAUAACUGCGAUAUAUAUGUAGCUUAAUUUAUAUGUAUUACAAUUCUUUAUUUUCUAUUACUGCUAGUAUUCUGGCAAGCUGGAGAACUGAAAAUGUUGGGAGUUUGCUGUCUUCUGUAUUCUUGAAGAAACAUAGGCUUUACAUAUUUUCUCAUAUUGUUCAUAAAGAAAUGACACUUACAGCUUGGUAUAUAGUGAGUCCUUUUCCUUUCUCAUAAAAGUGCCAGGACGAAAUUAAAGAUGACAGUGAUAAUACCCACUGAGAGGUAUGAAAUAAUACAGAUUUUAAGCAGAAAUUCCUAAGUUGCCUGCAUCAUGUUUUAUGUUUCAUGAGGAAUUGUUUCAUUACAGAUACACAAGCAAAUGAUGUGAAGUAAAAAUCUGUCAUAAAACAUAGCCUCAUAGUGCAGGUUAGUUUGUAGAACUGUGGCAGGAAGAUAGUUAGGUUUUUUUUGACAGGACAUAUGUUUUUGUCUAUUUUGUGAUGGAUUUUUGUACGGUAUAUUUUAGGGAAUAGUUUACUUAUUUCUUUUUUAAAGAAAGGGAAAAUAAGUGGGGA